rnacentral:rRNA from 1 species
GGGUCAGCAGGUUGGUCGUGCCAAUGGUAUGAACUGGCCUUGCUGAUUCCUCCCUCUUGAUGAGCCGUAAUGUUAUUAAUUUGGUGUUGCGGGGAAUCAGGACUGUUACUUUGAAAAAAUUAGAGUGUUUAAAGCAGGCAAUCGCUUGAAUACAUUAGCAUGGAAUAAUGAAAUAGGACGUUCGAUCCUAUUUUGUUGGUUUCUAGGAUUGACGUA